rnacentral:rRNA from 1 species
GGCUCAGGAUGAACGCUGGCGGCGUGCCUAAUACAUGCAAGUCGAGCGAACGGACGAGAAGCUUGCUUCUCUGAUGUUAGCGGCGGACGGGUGAGUAACACGUGGAUAACCUACCUAUAAGACUGGGAUAACUUCGGGAAACCGGAGCUAAUACCGGAUAAUAUUUUGAACCGCAUGGUUCAAAAGUGAAAGACGGUCUUGCUGUCACUUAUAGAUGGAUCCGCGCUGCAUUAGCUAGUUGGUAAGGUAACGGCUUACCAAGGCAACGAUGCAUAGCCGACCUGAGAGGGUGAUCGGCCACACUGGAACUGAGACACGGUCCAGACUCCUACGGGAGGCAGCAGUAGGGAAUCUUCCGCAAUGGGCGAAAGCCUGACGGAGCAACGCCGCGUGAGUGAUGAAGGUCUUCGGAUCGUAA